rnacentral:rRNA from 1 species
UACGUAGGGGGCAAGCGUUGUCCGGAUUUAUUGGGCGUAAAGAGCGUGUAGGCGGCCGCACAGGUCCGUUGUGAAAACUGGAGGCUUAACCUCCAGACGUCGAUGGAAACCGUGCGGCUAGAGUCCGGAAGAGGAGAAUGGAAUUCCUGGUGUAGCGGUGAAAUGCGCAGAUAUCAGGAGGAACACCGGUGGCGAAGGCGGAUCUCUGGGCCUUACCUGACGCUGAGGCGCGAAAGCUAGGGGAGCGAACAGG